CGGGACGGGUGAGUAACGCGUGGGUAACCUGCCUCAUACAGGGGGGUAACAGUUAGAAAUGACUGCUAAUACCGCAUAAGCACACAGUACCGCAUGGUACAGUGUGAAAAACUCCGGUGGUAUGAGAUGGACCCGCGUCUGAUUAGCUGGUUGGCGGGGUAACGGCCCACCAAGGCGACGAUCAGUAGCCGACCUGAGAGGGUGACCGGCCACAUUGGGACUGAGACACGGCCCAA
rnacentral:rRNA from 1 species